AGUUCUUCAAUUUGUUGUCCUUGAAUAUAAAUAUGUCUCGGUGAGAUUUAUUUUCUAACCUUGAAAAGUUAAGUCACAAAAUAAAGAAAAAUGUAAUCCAAUGCCCCACCUUGUGGGAACCCAGUAUUCCCUGACACUACACAGAAAACGACCUUUACGUCCUUCAGACUUCCCUAACAGACCCCAUCAUCUAUCGCAAAAGCCAAAUCAUCUGAUCCUAAACUAACUGUCAACUGCUUGCGAUGGUAGGGAAGCCAGACAUCAAUCAAUCAGUUUUUAUCAGAGGUGCUCUUCGUUUUUGCUGUUGUGCUCAUCUUAUCAUCUGACCCAGUUGUAGGCCUGACUUCAGAAGCUUAAAAGAACUUGAUGGCAAAAUAUG